UACGUAGGGUGCGAGCGUUUGUCCGGAAUUAUUGGGCGUAAAGAGCUCGUAGGCGGUGUGUCACGUCGGCCGUGAAAACCUGGGGCUUAACUCUGGGCGUGCGGUCGAUACGGGCAUCACUAGAGUUCGGCAGGGGAGACUGGAAUUCCUGGUGUAGCGGUGAAAUGCGCAGAUAUCAGGAGGAACACCGGUGGCGAAGGCGGGGUCUCUGGGCCGAUACUGACGUGAGGAGCGAAAGCAUGGGUAGCGAACAGG
rnacentral:rRNA from 1 species